rnacentral:rRNA from 1 species
GACGAACGCUGGCGGCGUGCUUAACACAUGCAAGUCGAACGGAAAGGCCUGCUUUCCCUUGUGGAUUGCGGGUACUCGAGUGGCGAACGGGUGAGUAACACGUGAGUGAUCUGCCCCCAACUUGGGUAUAAGCCUGGGAAACUGGGUCUAAUUCCCGAUAGGACUGCAGGGUGGUGCCUGUGGUGGAAAACGAUUUUCUAGUGGUUGUGGAUGAGCUUGCGGGCUAGCAGCUUGUUGGUGGGGUAAUGGCCUACCAAGGCGGCGACGGGUAGCCGGCCUGGGAGGGUGGAAGGGCACAUUAGAACUGAGACACGGCCCAGACUGAGACGGGAGGAAGCAGUGGGGAAUAUUGGACGAUAGGCGGAAGCAGGAUGGAGGGACGCGGGGUGGGGGAUGACGGCCUUCGGGUUGUAGACUCCUUUCGAGCGCGAGGAAGCCACCUGGUUGGAAGGGUGGUGACGGUAGUGGUAGAAGAAGCACCGGCUAACUACGUG